rnacentral:rRNA from 1 species
AUAUACAUUUCUACAACGCUAAUUCAUUUGAUCCCAAUAGAACUCCACUAUUAAGUGCACUUGGGCUAGAGUAGUAGUGGGAUGGGUGACCUAUCGAGAAUUCCUAGUGUUUUACAUG